rnacentral:rRNA from 1 species
CAGAGGUGGCAAGCGUUGUUCGGAAUUACUGGGCGUAAAGGGCGCGUAGGCGGCCUUCUAAGUCAGACGUGAAAUCCCCCGGCUUAACCUGGGAACUGCGUCUGAUACUGGGAGGCUUGAGUAUGGGAGAGGGAUGUAGAAUUCCAGGUGUAGCGGUGAAAUGCGUAGAUAUCUGGAGGAAUACCGGUGGCGAAGGCGGCAUCCUGGACCAUAACUGACGCUGAGGCGCGAAAGCUAGGGGAGCAAACGGGAUUAGAUACCCCGGUAGUCCUAGCCCUAAACGAUGAAUACUUGGUGUGGCGGGUAUCGAUCCCUGCCGUGCCGAAGCUAACGCAUUAAGUAUUCCGCCUGGGGAGUACGGCCGCAAGGCUG